rnacentral:rRNA from 1 species
CCCUUAGACGUUCUGGGCCGCACGCGCGCUACACUGACCAGUGCAACAAGCAUCCGUCCUUGGCCGACAGGCCCGGGCAAUCUUUGAACGCUGGUCGUGAUGGGGAUAGACUUUUGCAAUUUUUGGUCUUCAACGAGGGAUUCCUAGUAAACGCAAGUCAUCAACUUGCAUUGAUUACGUCCCUGCCCUUUGUACACACCGCCCGUCGCACCUACCGAUUGAAUGGUCCGGUGAAGCCUCCGGAUUGGCGCGCACCUCGGUGCCGCCGAGAAGUUGGCUAAACCUUACCAUUUAGAGGAAGGUGAAGUCGUANCA